AAUUAUGUACUCCCUUCGUCCCACUCCAAUUGGCACACUUGCCUUUUUUGUUUGUCCCACUUCAAUUGGCAGUUUCUAAAAAUAGCAUGUGGUCCCUACCUUCUCUACACAUUAAAUAAAUGGCCCCCACCCACUUUACACACUCAACUCUUUAUUCUUAAUCUCCGUGCCCAAAGUAAAAGUGUCAAUUGAAGUGGGACGGAGGGAGUACAUUUUAAAUUAAUGUAAACGUGUUGGAGUUAAAAUUGUGAAAUAAUGUAAACGUGUUGGUUUUAGUAUGGGAUACUAAACAUCAAUUCAUGGUAGGUUUCGUAUCUAGAAUACCAAAAAAAAAAUAAUCAAGGGGACACCAAACGGUGUGAACUCCUGUCUGCGUACGGUAAAGUCUAAGGUUCAAACCCCACCGCUUUCCCUCUCCAAGUCAAAAAAAAAAUAAUAAAAUAAAAAUUACAAUAAUCCCUUAUUAAUCUAACAUUUCUAAACUUUAUUUAUCUAGAACAACCAAACCUUCAC
rnacentral:lncRNA from 1 species